rnacentral:rRNA from 1 species
AUUGAACGCUGGCGGAAUGCUUUACACAUGCAAGUCGAACGGCAGCACGGACUUCGGUCUGGUGGCGAGUGGCGAACGGGUGAGUAAUGUAUCGGAACGUGCCCAGUCGUGGGGGAUAACGUAGUGAAAAUUACGCUAAUACCGCAUACGAUCUAUGGAUGAAAGCGGGGGAUCGCAAGACCUCGCGCGAUUGGAGCGGCCGAUAUCAGAUUAGGUAGUUGGUGGGGUAAAGGCCCACCAAGCCAACGAUCUGUAGCUGGCCUGAGAGGACGACCAGCCACACUGGAACUGGGACACGGUCCAGACUCCUACGGGAGGCAGCAGUGGGGAAUUUUGGGCAAUGGGCGAAAGCCUGAUCCAGCCAUUCCGCGUGCAGGAUGAAGGCCCUCGGGUUGUAAACUGCUUUUGUACAGAACGAAAAGGUUUCUACUAAUACUAGGAGCUCAUGACGGUACUGUAAGAAUAAGCACCGGCUAACUACGUGCCAGCCGCCGCCGUAA